GGAGGACUAGUCCUAAUUGGUAAGGCAGCGGACUUGAAAUCCGCCGGGCUUUAAGCCCUUGGGGGUUCGAAUCCCUCGUCCUCCG
rnacentral:tRNA from 1 species